rnacentral:lncRNA from 1 species
AGCACCUAAGAAUUCUCCCACACUAAGGAAGAAGGGAUGCCUCCCUUCUUUGUGUUGCAUACAACAAUCUCAAUAUCGCUGGUGGUUUCUCUCUUUUUGUCGUACAAAUAAAAGCUUAAUCAUCGAUGAAAAAAGAUCCUUCCCUUUUAUAUAUGAUGCUCCAUAUCUAAUCUAAAGUCCUAACUAAUUUAGGACAUUAGGUUUGAAUCAAAUUAAAAUCUUAUCCAACUAGGAAGAUCGGAUG